AGCGAACGCUGGCGGAAUGCUUAACACAUGCAAGUCGCACGGGGGAUUUCGGUCCUUAGUGGCGGACGGGUGAGUAACGCGUAGGAAUGUGUCCAGAGAUGGGGGACAACGUUGGGAAACUGACGCUAAUACCGCAUGUGACCUGAGGGUCAAAGCCGCGAGGCGUCUUUGGAGCAGCCUGCGUCCGAUUAGCUUGUUGGUUGGGUAAAGGCUUACCAAGGCGACGAUCGGUAGCUGGUCUGAGAGGAUGAUCAGCCACACUGGAACUGAGACACGGGCCAGACUACUACGGGAGGCAGCAGUGGGGAAUAUUGGACAAUGGGCGCAAGCCUGAUCCAGCAAUUCCGCGUGGGUGAAGAAGGUCUUCGGAUUGUAAAGCCCUUUCGACAGGGACGAUGAUGACGGUACCUGUAGAAGAAGCCCCGGCUAACUUCGUGCCAGCCGCCGCGGUAAA
rnacentral:rRNA from 1 species